GGGGGUUUCUUGCCACUGACCUGGAAUGUUCCGCAGCCUGCUGUGAGUGGUCCUCCCUGCCUUUCUGACACGUGGCCUCUGUUUAACCUGUGCCUUUGAGAUGUUUCUUUCUGGCUUUUUCUUGGUUAUUUACGUACGACUGGAUCUAGAUUCCUGCCUACAGAAGGUUCCAGGCUUGUGGUUGGGUCCCCAGGACCUCCCGUGGCUCCUCCCUCCCCUGUGUGUGUGCAGCCACAUGGGCCUCACCCCCACGCAAGCCUGGAGUAGGGGGCCUGAUCCCAGAAGCAGCCCCCCACCUCGGCCUCCCUCAUGUCCACCUGUGCUCCUCAAUACUGCUCAGCCCAGUCUGGCCUUUACAGCUCCCCCUCCCCCGCCCCCACCAAGCUUCAGGGAACACAUGGAAUGAGCAAGGUGAGGCUGCAUGGGCUCCUGCCCCCCUGACCCAAGCCCUUUGGGGAUGGGGCCACGUGGAUGCCGCUGGAAACCCCACAGGGAGGGGGAAGGGGGACCUCAGGGUUUCUGCUUCAGGGGAGCGAGGGGGUCCCCCGGGCACCCCUAACCUUAGGACAUGUACUCGACUGUGUGUGGCUGUUAGUGGUGAAGAAGGGAUGAGGAAGGUGGGCGUGGGGCCCCCCAGAGAAGUGGGGGAAGGGUGUGGCGCUGCUGGGCUCGGGAGAAUGGCUGGGAGCAAGGGCUCUGGUAGGAAGGCCGGCCCGGCGUGAUAUUUAGUGAGCUUUUCUGAGAGCAGCAGGGAGAUACAGGGCCCUGGGAGGGGGUGGCAGGGAUCCGUACCCUGAGCAAGUGCUGAGCAGGGCGAGGGGGAGGGGAGACCUGGAGACCAGAGGGGCUGGGCACGCAGCAGGGGCAAGGGGGCACUGUGGGCCAGAGGGACAGUCGGCUUUGACGGGGGCCCUGGCUGUGGAUGGAGCCUGCAGGCGCUUGGUGAGGACCAGAGAAACAGGGCUCCUCUCCCUGGUGCGGUGAGGUGGCAGCUUGGUAGGGGAGGGAGAGCGGGGGCUGCGGCGGGGGGCCCCCCCGGACCCUGGCUCCAGCAUCGGAGGGAAGGACAGAGUGGUGGAGGUAAUGGGGCAGCCUGGGGGGAGGGGUGUGGAUGGGGCCGGUUAGUGCUUGGGAAUGGCUGUGGGGAGCCACCCUGAAAGUGUGGUCUGGGAUGCGGCUCUUCUGGACAUGCUGACAUUCAUAUUCACCUUCAGGCGGGCCCACCCACUGCACCCGGGGCUUCUCACACUAGUGGCCACACGAGUCCCAAGUCCCCAGGGAGCCCGGCCCCCUGGCACACCUUGCUGGUUCCUGCAGGCAUCGGUCGGGGCCCCAGGGACUCCCUGGGUGUGUGUGUUUGAUGUCCAGAGAGGGUCCGGGGCAGGCCGAAAGCACUUUUCUUGUCCCAUUUACCCUGGUAUUGAUGCCCCACCAUUUGGCCUUUACUGAUAGAAGGUUCUAGUUCUUUUUCUUUCUUUUCUCCCUUUGGGUUGUGAUUUCGUACAGAUUGGUGAAAUUUUACCUGCAGUGAUCAGGUAGAUCACUGCCCAGCAAGUGGCCCUGGGCUUUCUGUGCCUUAGUUUCCCCACCUGUGAACUGGGACUGACCACUCGGAUGCCUCCACCCCAGGACUUCUGGGAGGAUUGACUUGGUGACCCAACCGAGUGCUUAUCACAGCGGUCCAGGGUGAGCUUAAAUAAAGGUGCGGACAUCACCCAGGGCGUGAGGCAGGCAAGUCUAGAGGCUGAAUCCGAGUGCGGAGCGUGGGGGAGGUGAGGCUCCGUACCCCAGAGCCCCGGUGGUGUGUGCGGGUGCUCCCUGCCUGGGCCCAGGCCCCAGGCCCCAGGAAGUGAUGGUAACCCCACCGUGGGGAGACCUGGCACACCCCACCUGGGCCCAGGGGUCAAGUUCAACUCCAGAGUGAUGUUGAGCGGCCCGUCAGGGACCCCUGAUGGGACAGGACCAGAAGGGCACCCCGGCUCUGUAGUUCUUCCCCAAACCCAUAACCCCAGUGUCGUGGGUUGAAUGGUGGCCCCCCAAAAGGUGUGUCUUCAUCCCAGGCCCUUGUACCUGUGAGUGGGACCUUAUUUGGAAAAAGGGUCUUUGCAGAUGUGAUUAAGUUCAGGGUCUCGAGAUGAGAUCAUCCUGGAUUAUCUGGUGGGCUCUAAACCCAAUGACACGUGUCCUCCUAAGAGACACGGAGGAGAGACAGAGGAGAAGCCCCUUGAUGACCAUGGAGUCAGGCACUGGAGUGCCGUGGCCAGAGGCCGGGGGACCCCUGGGGUCCUGCGGAGCUGGAAGAGGCAGGUCGGACCCUCCCCUGGAGCCUCCCGAGGGCCCUGCCGCACCUCUGUCUGGGGCUUCUGGCCUCCGGGACUGGGAAAGGAUGAAAUCCUGUUGUCGGGAGUCGCCCUGCGUGUGGGGCCUUGUUAGAGCAGUCGUGGGAAACCGAGAUCUCCAAACUCCACAGGCAAGCAGCUGACAAGCCCGGAUCGGGGACACGCUGUGGGACACCUGGCUGGGCGUCCAGGAGGCUGUCAAGGUCACGAGAAACAAGGACAGGUGGAGAUGUUGCCACACGCUAUGGGCUCUGAAGGAGCUCCCAAUGACGGGCACCCCCGUGGUGGUGGUCAUGGCCUUGCUCCUCUCCUUCCCUGCUGCCUUCGGAGCCCCAGGAGAAGGCCUGGCAUGCAGUAGGUGCUCAGUAACUGCAGGGCAUCGACCUGCCCGAAUCAGAUGUCUGCUCUCCCUUGCUGGCGGGCUCUGCGGAGAUGCCGCGGGGCUCGGGGUAGGGCGGCCCUUGUGAGCGAUCCGGGCGCUGCCGCAGUCAGUAUCGCAGACGCCCGAGCUCAUCCGUCUUGGAGAAUGGAGCAGAGAAGGCCAGCAAGCGGAACGGUCUUUCUGGGGUCUCUCCGGGCAUCGAUCCGUGUUCUGCUACAAGAACAUUUUUUGAUGACUCUGGCUUUCCGGUAUGUUUUGAGAACUGCUGAGGCCCUUGUUCCCAAUUUUAUUCUUUGUCAAGACUUCUUCAGCUGGUCGCACAUUGACCCUUUUGGCAUCGAUGGCCCACCCGUCCCUCGGGCCCCCCUCAAACAGUCACAGACACGUGGUGCUGGCGGGAAGCAUCUCUGUCCCUCCACGGCCGACAUUCCAGCCCGGCAUCAGCCAACUUAGGUGAUAGCAAGGAGCCUUUGUGUUUUGUGUUUUUCAUCGACAAAUGGGACCACGGAUGCUGGUUUCCGACGGCUUCUCUCAAGUUUCUCUCGAUUCCCUGCUUUCAGAGGGUUUCGUGAGUGUGGGUGUGGGGUGCUCCCAAGCCCUUUCCCCGCAGCCUGGUCCGGGCCCUGACAACUGUCUAUGUGGAAAGUGUGCACCGCCGUGUGGCCGCCGCCCCCUGAGGUCCCCCCGCCCACUCGCUGCCAUCACCGGCCUGCCUUCUGUCUCUCCCAGUCUGCUGUUUUUAGAAAUUUCAUGUAAUUAGAGUGAUACAGCAUGUCAUCUUCAGUCUGGCUUCUUGAAAGUUUUUGAGGGGUGCCCGGGGGGCUCGGUCAGUUAAGCGUCUGCCUUCGGCUCUGGUCGUGAUCUCGGGGUCCCGGGAUCGAGUUCUGCGUCGGGCUCCCUGCUCGGCGGGAAGCCUGCUCCUCCUCCUCCC